rnacentral:tRNA from 1 species
AUCGUUAGAAUGCUGCUUUUGUAAAGCAGCGGUGUGAUUUUGUGACUUCUUU